AUUGAACGCUGGCGGCAGGCCUAACACAUGCAAGUCGAGCGGGGUUUUCGGACCUAGCGGCGGACGGGUGAGUAAUGCGUAGGAAGCUACCCGCUAGAGGGGGGUACCAGUUGGAAACGACUGUUAAUACCGCAUAAUGUCUACGGACCAAAGUGUGGGACCUUCGGGCCACAUGCUAUCGGAUGCGCCUACGUGGGAUUAGCUAGUUGGUGAGGUAAUGGCUCACCAAGGCGACGAUCCCUAGCUGGUUUGAGAUGAUGAGUAGCCACACUGGAACUGAGACACGGUCCAGACUCCUACGGGAGGCAGCAGUGGGGAAUAUUGGACAAUGGGCGCAAGCCUGAUCCAGCCAUGCCGCGUGUGUGAAGAAGGCCUUCGGGUUGUAAAGCACUUUCAGUAGGGAGGAAGCGUUGUGUGUUAAUAGUACACAGCGUUGACGUUACCUACAGAAGAAGCACCGGCUAACUCCGUGCCAGCCGCCGCCGUAACAC
rnacentral:rRNA from 1 species